rnacentral:tRNA from 1 species
GGAAGCGUAUCGAAGUGGCCAUAACGGGACUGACUCGAAAUCAGUUUGCCUUAACCGGCACGUGGGUUCGAAUCCCACCGCUUCCG